rnacentral:rRNA from 1 species
GACGAACGCUGGCGGCGUGCCUAAUACAUGCAAGUAGAACGCUGAAGAGAGGAGCUUGCUCUUCUUGGAUGAGUUGCGAACGGGUGAGUAACGCGUAGGUAACCUGCCUUGUAGCGGGGGAUAACUAUUGGAAACGAUAGCUAAUACCGCAUAACAAUGGAUGACACAUGUCAUUUAUUUGAAAGGGGCAAUUGCUCCACUACAAGAUGGACCUGCGUUGUAUUAGCUAGUAGGUGAGGUAACGGCUCACCUAGGCGACGAUACAUAGCCGACCUGAGAGGGUGAUCGGCCACACUGGGACUGAGACACGGCCCAGACCCCUACGGGAGGCAGCAGUAGGGAAUCUUCGGCAAUGGGGGCAACCCUGACCGAGCAACGCCGCGUGAGUGAAGAAGGUUUUCGGAUCGUAAAGCUCUGUUGUAAGUCAAGAACGAGUGUGAGAGUGGAAAGUUCACACUGUGACGGUAGCUUACCAGAAAGGGACGGCUAACUACGUGCCAGCAGCCGCGGUAAUACGUAGGUCCCGAGCGUUGUCCGGAUUUAUUGGGCGUAAAGCGAGCGCAGGCGGUUUGAUAAGUCUGAAGUUAAAGGCUGUGGCUCAACCAUAGUUCGCUUUGGAAACUGUCAAACUUGAGUGCAGAAGGGGAGAGUGGAAUUCCAUGUGUAGCGGUGAAAUGCGUAGAUAUAUGGAGGAACACCGGUGGCGAAAGCGGCUCUCUGGUCUGUAACUGACGCUGAGGCUCGAAAGCGUGGGGAGCGAACAGGAUUAGAUACCCUGGUAGUCCACGCCGUAAACGAUGAGUGCUAGGUGUUGGAUCCUUUCCGGGAUUCAGUGCCGCAGCUAACGCAUUAAGCACUCCGCCUGGGGAGUACGGCCGCAAGGUUGAAACUCAAAGGAAUUGACGGGGGCCCGCACAAGCGGUGGAGCAUGUGGUUUAAUUCGAAGCAACGCGAAGAACCUUACCAGGUCUUGACAUCCCGAUGCUAUUUCUAGAGAUAGAAAGUUACUUCGGUACAUCGGUGACAGGUGGUGCAUGGUUGUCGUCAGCUCGUGUCGUGAGAUGUUGGGUUAAGUCCCGCAACGAGCGCAACCCCUAUUGUUAGUUGCCAUCAUUCAGUUGGGCACUCUAGCGAGACUGCCGGUAAUAAACCGGAGGAAGGUGGGGAUGACGUCAAAUCAUCAUGCCCCUUAUGACCUGGGCUACACACGUGCUACAAUGGUUGGUACAACGAGUUGCGAGUCGGUGACGGCAAGCUAAUCUCUUAAAGCCAAUCUCAGUUCGGAUUGUAGGCUGCAACUCGCCUACAUGAAGUCGGAAUCGCUAGUAAUCGCGGAUCAGCACGCCGCGGUGAAUACGUUCCCGGGCCU